rnacentral:rRNA from 1 species
AGCGAACGCUGGCGGCAGGCCUAACACAUGCAAGUCGAACGGAUCCUUCGGGAUUAGUGGCGGACGGGUGAGUAACACGUGGGAACGUGCCCUUUGGUUCGGAACAACUCAGGGAAACUUGAGCUAAUACCGGAUGUGCCCUUCGGGGGAAAGAUUUAUCGCCAUUGGAGCGGCCCGCGUCUGAUUAGCUAGUUGGUGAGGUAAAGGCUCACCAAGGCGACGAUCAGUAGCUGGUCUGAGAGGAUGAUCAGCCACAUUGGGACUGAGACACGGCCCAAACUCCUGCGGGAGGCAGCAGUGGGGAAUCUUGCGAAAUGGGCGAAAGCCUGACGCAGCCAUGCCGCGUGAAUGAUGAAGGUCUUAGGAUUGUAAAAUUCUUUCACCGGGGACGAUAAUGACGGUACCCGGAGAAGAAGCCCCGGCUAACUUCGUGCCAGCAGCCGCCGUAAUAC